rnacentral:rRNA from 1 species
AUACGGAGGGUGCAAGCGUUGUUCGGAAUCACUGGGCGUAAAGGGCGCGCAGGCGGUUUGGUAAGUCAGAUGCGAAAGCCCACGGCUCAACCGUGGAAGUGCAUUUGAAACUGUCAGACUUGAGUACUAGAGGGGAAAGUGGAAUUCCCGGUGUAGAGGUGAAAUUCGUAGAUAUCGGGAGGAAUACCGGUGGCGAAGGCGACUUUCUGGCUAGAUACUGACGCUGAGGCGCGAAAGCGUGGGGAGCAAACAGGAUUAGAAACCCUGGUAGUCC